GACGUAGGGCGCGAGCGUUGUCCGGAUUUAUUGGGCGUAAAGAGCUCGUAGGCGGCUUGUCGCGUCGACUGUGAAAUCCCGCGGCUCAACUGCGGGUCUGCAGUCGAUACGGGCAGGCUAGAGUUCGGUAGGGGGAGACUGGAAUUCCUGGUGUAGCGGUGAAAUGCGCAGAUAUCAGGAGGAACACCGAUGGCGAAGGCAGGUCUCUGGGCAUUAACUGACGCUGAGGAGCGAAAGCAUGGGGGAGCGAACAGG
rnacentral:rRNA from 1 species